CACAGACUUUAAGGUCAGAAGGGAUCAUCAUGAUCAUCUAGUCUGACCUCCUGCACAUUGCAGGCUACAGAACCUUGCCCACCUACUACUGUGAUAGACCCAUAACCUGUGGCUGAGUUACUGAAGUCCUCAAAUCAUUACUUAAAGACUUCAAGUUACAGAGAAUCCACCAUUUUCACUAAUUUAAAAGUGUGUGUUGACUCUGCUGCAGAGAAAUC